rnacentral:rRNA from 1 species
CCAGACUCCUACGGGAGGCAGCAGUGAGGAAUAUUGGUCAAUGGUCGGGAGACUGAACCAGCCAAGCCGCGUGAGGGAUGAAGGUACAGAGUAUCGUAAACCUCUUUUGUCAGGGAACAAAGGCGGGGACGUGUCCCCGGAUGAGUGUACCUGAAGAAAAAGCAUCGGCUAACUCCGUGCCAGCAGCCGCGGUAAUACGGAGGAUGCGAGCGUUAUCCGGAUUUAUUGGGUUUAAAGGGUGCGCAGGCGGCGGGGUAAGCCCGGGGUGGAAGCCCGGGGCCCAACCCCGGACCCGCCGUUGAAACUGGCAGUCUCGAGUUGGAGAGAAGUAUGCGGAAUGCGCGGUGUAGCGGUGAAAUGCAUAGAUAUCACGCAGAACUCCGAUUGCGAAGGCAGCAUACCGGCGCCCAACUGACGCUCAGGCACGAAAGCGUGGGUAUCGAACAGGAUUAGAUACCCUCGUAA